AUGAACGCUGGCGGCGUGCCUAAUACAUGCAAGUCGAGCGAACAGACGAGGAGCUUGCUCCUCUGACGUUAGCGGCGGACGGGUGAGUAACACGUGGAUAACCUACCUAUAAGACUGGGAUAACUUCGGGAAACCGGAGCUAAUACCGGAUAAUAUAUUGAACCGCAUGGUUCAAUAGUGAAAGACGGUUUUGCUGUCACUUAUAGAUGGAUCCGCGCCGCAUUAGCUAGUUGGUAAGGUAACGGCUUACCAAGGCAACGAUGCGUAGCCGACCUGAGAGGGUGAUCGGCCACACUGGAACUGAGACACGGUCCAAACUCCUACGGGAGGCAGCAGUAGGGAAUCUUCCGCAAUGGGCGAAAGCCUGACGGAGCAACGCCGCGUGAAUGAUGAAGGUCUUCGGAUCGUAAAACUCUGUUAUUAGGGAAGAACAAAUGUGUAAGUAACUAUGCACGUCUUGACGGUACCUAAUCAGAAAGCCACGGCUAACUACGUG
rnacentral:rRNA from 1 species